GGGCCUACAGCUAUGCCGACCUACAUUCACCUACGAACGAAUUCUCUAGGCAUAGCACGUCGCCUAGCAACUCAUAAUCCUUUGGUCCACGGUUCGAGUCCGUGUGGGCCCACCA
rnacentral:tRNA from 1 species